CCUGGUGAUUAUUGCAAAGAGGUUACACCCGAUCCCAUACCGAACUCGGAAGUUAAGUUUUUUAGCGCUGAUGGUACUUUAUCUUAAGAUACGGAAGAGUAGGACGUUGCCAGGC
rnacentral:rRNA from 1 species